rnacentral:lncRNA from 1 species
CCUUCCCCUUCUUCCCAUGCUAUUGUGCAUGGCCAUUGGCCAUUGAAAUCAUUAGAAAAGCAACCAAAAGAAGAUGCCUUGUUUUUCCCUAUCUGGUCGAGCCUUACUUCUUUUUUCGACCAUCAGCGCUGCUGCCUAUGGUGUCGCAUCCCUAGGUCAUGAUGCCCCACUUGUCUACUGCCUCCCCCAUAAGUUUUGGCUGUCGAUGAUCGGCUAAUGACUGAAAAAAUGAAAACAAAAAGGAUGGAUCCCCUAUUUUUUCAGAUGUUCCCA